rnacentral:tRNA from 1 species
GAGGGUAUAGCUCAAGUGGUAGAGCACAUGCUUAGUAUGCAGGAGGUCCUGGGUUCAAUCCCUGGUACCUCCA